CUGGUCAGGUCAGGCCUGGCGGGGGAUUCGAUCCUCUGCCUGAAACCUUGGAGUGUCUGAAUGGAAAGGAGAGCAAUGAAUCAGCUUUGGUCCCCAUGCCUGUCAAAUCCUGCCUCCCAGGGUCUGAGGAGCUGCAACAAGAGUAUUCUGCACAUAGUGUGUCUGUAUACACCAUGUGAGUGUAUCUGGCUACACCCAGAUAACCUCAGUGCUUUCAAAGCCAUCAUCCCACCCCAGAAGGCCGAGGCCAGAGUGAGGCCAGUGAUCUCACCGUGGCCUUAUCUAUGUCGCUUGGGCAUGAGACUAACUCUCUCCUCAAAGCUGGGCCCAUUGCCUCCGUUCAUCACUGAACCCUCAAGUGAGAUGAGAGUUGUCAGUGCCUGAUUGAAGCAAACUAAGACUGAAGAAGAUUGAUUCCGGCUCACAGUCUGAGGAACCAGUCCAUCAAAGCAGGAAGGAGAGCCAGGAUUCUGCUCGACCCUGGUGGGGCACAUGGUCACCAAAGCUGGUACUCGAGGCUCAGGGGUGAAGAGGGCAGCUUGGUGAGCCCCAGGUAUCUAAGCUGAUAUUUUAAACUGACUCUCAGGAGGGUGUGGACAUCCCUCUUGUUGCAGGAUAUUCUGUGAGGUGGGUGGGGAUGUCCCCAAAGCACUACUAUCCUGCUCAGUUUUGUGAUCUGUGAAAUGGGUCAGUGGAUACUGAGAAGGGGUGAGCUUGAAGUAGUGUCUGUUCCAAACCCCCAAACCCAAAGGCUGAGAGGAACAGAUGGGCAAGCCCUGUAAAUGCCAUGUCCUCCCCUUCACGGACAGCACAGUCCCUGGACUCAUGAUCACGUGACUUGAAAGUUUACAGGAGUUGGCAGUGGGAAAUGGGGGUGGAGCACAGAGAUUGAUUAACUUCUUGGGAAAGCAAGAACUUUCUAACAGACAGACAGACAGACAGACAGAUGACAGGGUUUGGCUCUCAGCUCUCACUACCCUCACCUUUCUGGAUCUCUCUACCUCUUUGUCCAUCUACAGACAUGGUGCUGGGUCUUACCACAGAGGCUUCUGUAAGGACUCAACGAGAUCAUGAGACAGAAGUGCUGCCUCUCAACCCAGCUAGGAACUCUCUAGACCUGCGUGUCUUCCUCUCCUGCCAGCUCUGUGUCCCCACCUGCCCAGUGACCAGGCAUCUAGGUGGCAUGCCUAGGGUUGCCCCCAUCCUCUGGAGGAGACACUUCUGGGUGUCCAAGGCUAACCCCCUACAAACACUUGGAAUAAAUCUUACAGCCACGGCCACCACAGCAGCAUUAGCACGGCCACCACAGCAGCAUUAGCACGGGCUAAUGUAUGUAUUAUUUACAGAGUUUCCUGAUGUACUCAGAGAACUCCCCUGAGAAGUAUAAU
rnacentral:lncRNA from 1 species